rnacentral:rRNA from 1 species
UACAGAGGAUGCAAGUGUUAUCCGGAAUUAUUGGGCGUAAAGCGUCUGCAGGUGGAUUUUCUAGUCUUUUGUUAAAUUUUUGAGCUUAACUUAAAAUCUGCAAAAGAUACUGUUAUAUCUAGAGUAUAGUAGAGGUAAAGGGAAUUUUCAGUGGAGCGGUGAAAUGCGUAGAUAUUGGAAAGAACACCAAAGGCGAAGGCACUUUACUGGGCUAUUACUGACACUCAGAGACGAAAGCUAGGGGAGCAAACAGG